ACAGAGCUCUUGCAAAAUUUAGUAUAUAGCCCGGUGACCUCCCGAAGCCACGGAAGAUGACCGAGUGAUUGUCAAUGGUUUUUUAAUUAGGCAUUGAACACCGCGGCAUCAAUCACAUAAAAAGCCAUGAACAUCUCCUGAUUAUAUCCUAGAAGCUCUCGAAAAACUUCAGAAACCACCAAGACUUGUGCUUAAGCUUGAUUUUAGGAAAGCAUUUGACAAGUGGAUCGGGUGCUUCUUCUUUCGGGGAGCUAUGGUGGGCGGACGUGGAUAUGCGGCAUUCUUGCUUCGGCUUCAACGACAAUGAUCGUCUGGUUCUCACAAACUCAGUAGAACAGAGCUGGGCUACAGGAAUCAACUGGGGUAAGAAAUAGAUAGAGAAACUAAAAUGUAUCCAUGUCAGUAG
rnacentral:lncRNA from 1 species